GAUGAACGCUGGCGGCGUGCCUAAUACAUGCAAGUCGAGCGAACGGACGAGAAGCUUGCUUCUCUGAUGUUAGCGGCGGACGGGUGAGUAACACGUGGAUAACCUACCUAUAAGACUGGGAUAACUUCGGGAAACCGGAGCUAAUACCGGAUGAUAUUUUGAACCGCAUGGUUCAAAAGUGAAAGACGGUCUUGCUGUCACUUAUAGAUGGAUCCGCGCUGCAUUAGCUAGUUGGUAAGGUAACGGCUUACCAAGGCAACGAUGCAUAGCCGACCUGAGAGGGUGAUCGGCCACACUGGAACUGAGACACGGUACAGACUCCUAAGAGAGGCAGCAGUAGGGAAUCUUCCGCAAUGGGCGAAAGCCUGACGGAGCAACGCCGCGUGAGUGAUGAAGGUCUUCGGAUCGUAAAACUCUGUUAGUAGGGAAGAACAUAUGUGUAAGUAACUGUGCACAUCUUGACGGUACCUAAUCAGAAAGCCACGGCUAACUACGUG
rnacentral:rRNA from 1 species